rnacentral:rRNA from 1 species
AGGGUUCGAUUCUGGCUCAGGAUGAACGCUGGCGGCGUGCUUAACACAUGCAAGUCGAACGGGAUCCCAGGAGCUUGCUCCUGGGUGAGAGUGGCGAACGGGUGAGUAAUGCGUGACCGACCUGCCCCAUACACCGGAAUAGCUCCUGGAAACGGGUGGUAAUGCCGGAUGCUCCAGUUGACCGCAUGGUCCUCUGGGAAAGCUUUUGCGGUAUGGGAUGGGGUCGCGUCCUAUCAGCUUGAUGGCGGGGUAACGGCCCACCAUGGCUUCGACGGGUAGCCGGCCUGAGAGGGCGACCGGCCACAUUGGGACUGAGAUACGGCCCAGACUCCUACGGGAGGCAGCAGUGGGGAAUAUUGCACAAUGGGCGCAAGCCUGAUGCAGCGACGCCGCGUGCGGGAUGACGGCCUUCGGGUUGUAAACCGCUUUUGACUGGGAGCAAGCCCUUCGGGGUGAGUGUACCUUUCGAAUAAGCACCGGCUAACUACGUGCCAGCAGCCGCGGUAAUACGUAGGGUGCAAGCGUUAUCCGGAAUUAUUGGGCGUAAAGGGCUCGUAGGCGGUUCGUCGCGUCCGGUGUGAAAGUCCAUCGCUUAACGGUGGAUCCGCGCCGGGUACGGGCGGGCUUGAGUGCGGUAGGGGAGACUGGAAUUCCCGGUGUAACGGUGGAAUGUGUAGAUAUCGGGAAGAACACCAAUGGCGAAGGCAGGUCUCUGGGCCGUUACUGACGCUGAGGAGCGAAAGCGUGGGGAGCGAACAGGAUUAGAUACCCUGGUAGUCCACGCCGUAAACGGUGGAUGCUGGAUGUGGGGACCAUUCCACGGUCUCCGUGUCGGAGCCAACGCGUUAAGCAUCCCGCCUGGGGAGUACGGCCGCAAGGCUAAAACUCAAAGAAAUUGACGGGGGCCCGCACAAGCGGCGGAGCAUGCGGAUUAAUUCGAUGCAACGCGAAGAACCUUACCUGGGCUUGACAUGUUCCCGACAGCCGUAGAGAUACGGUCUCCCUUCGGGGCGGGUUCACAGGUGGUGCAUGGUCGUCGUCAGCUCGUGUCGUGAGAUGUUGGGUUAAGUCCCGCAACGAGCGCAACCCU